AUGCCACCUCGUCGAGCACAUCGAGUGUGCUCGACGCGUAGCCAUGCAGAUGGUGCAACAUCUGAUGGGCCAGCCCAGCACUCGGCUUCGCCUCACGUUGGCGAUCAUUCUCCUGCUGGGCUUCCUCCGUCUCCGGCUCAUGCUCCUGGACCGCUUACAGCAGCACCGGUGUGGCCUGUGAUCACCCGCGGUGGUCGCAUCAAGUGGUUCCGACGGAUGGCACCAUCUGCUAUGACCCCAAUAGACACACCUUCUCGCCGAGCCUGUCUCAUACCGUGCUGCUUGAGUGUCACCAUCCAUAUGCUGGUUUAUUAUGUCGAUGAUAUUGUCAUUGCAAGCUCUUCUGUUGCAGCAACAGAUCAUCUUCUUUGCCAUUUGGCUGCCACCUUCCCGCACACUCAGAUGACAAAUUGUAAGCCAGUUUCUACGCCCAAGUGUGUUCAUGAGAAGUUGUCCCAUGACCUUGGCAUUCCUCCUCUUGGCGAAGCCGACAUUCAUACCUACCGGAGCACGGUCAGUGCACUGCAGUACCUUACAUUGACUCGGCUGGAUAUCUCCUCUGCUGAGAACAAGGCGUGUCAGUAUCUCUCCCAGCCAACAAAUGUUCCUUGGGAAGCAGCCAAGAGGGUUCUCCGUUUCAUAAAGGGACAAGGAUCGUACACUGAGGCAGAAUACAAAGCCCUGGCAAAUGGUGCUGCAGAGCUUCUUGGGUUCAGUCGCUUCUACGAGAACCUCAUGUCCCUCAGCCAAGACCUCCAGUUCUAUGGUGCGAUAAUCUGGGUGCUAGUUCUUAACUACAAACCCAGUGUUUCAUGCACGCACUAA
rnacentral:rRNA from 1 species